AGAGUGAACGCUGGCGGUAGGCCUAACACAUGCAAGUCGAACGGCAGCACAGUAGGAGCUUGCUCUUACGGGUGGCGAGUGGCGGACGGGUGAGGAAUACAUCGGAAUCUACCUUUUGGUGGGGGAUAACGUAGGGAAACUUACGCUAAUACCGCAUACGCCCUUCGGGGGAAAGCCGGGACCAGCAAUGGCCUGGCGCUGAUAGAUGAGCCGAUGUCGGAUUAGCUAGUUGGUGAGGUAAUGGCUACACCGAAGGCGACGAGUCCGUAGCUGGUCUGAGAGGAUGAUCAGCCACGACGUAGGAACUGGAGACACGGUCCAGACUCCGUACGGGAGCAGCGAGGUAGGGAAUUAGUAGGACAAGGUCGGGCGACGAACGGCC
rnacentral:rRNA from 1 species